rnacentral:rRNA from 1 species
UACGUAGGGGGCAAGCGUUAUCCGGAUUUACUGGGUGUAAAGGGAGCGUAGACGGUAAUGCAAGUCUGGAGUGAAAACCCGGGGCUCAACCCCGGGACUGCUUUGGAAACUGUAUAACUGGAGUGCCGGAGAGGUAAGCGGAAUUCCUAGUGUAGCGGUGAAAUGCGUAGAUAUUAGGAGGAACACCAGUGGCGAAGGCGGCUUACUGGACGGUAACUGACGUUGAGUCUCGAAAGCGUGGGGAGCAAACAGG